UACGGGGGGGGCAAGCGUUGUUCGGAAUUACUGGGCGUAAAGGGCUCGUAGGCGGCCAACUAAGUCAGACGUGAAAUCCCACGGCUCAACCGUGGAAGUGCAUCCGAAACUGCAUCGCUCGAGUCUCGGAGAGGAAGGUGGAAUGCUUGGUGUAGAGGUGAAAUUCGUAGAUAUCAAGCAGAACACCUGCGGCGAAGGCGGCCUUCUGGACGAUGACUGACGCUGAGACGCGAAAGCGUGGGGAGCAAACAGG
rnacentral:rRNA from 1 species